UAAUACGGAGGGUGCAAGCGUUGUCCGGAUUUAUUGGGUUUAAAGGGUGCGUAGGCGGGUCUGUAAGUCAGCGGUGAAAUCCAGCAGCUCAACUGUUGAAUUGCCAUUGAUACUGCGGAUCUUGAGUGGGAUCGAGGUGACAGGAAUGUGUGGUGUAGCGGUGAAAUGCAUAGAUAUCACACAGAACACCGAUUGCGAAGGCAAGUCACUAGGUUUCAACUGACGCUGAGGCACGAAAGCGUGGGGAUCAAACAGGAUUAGAUACCCUGGUAGUCCACGCCGUAAACGAUGAUUACUAGGUGUUCGGUUACUUAAGGUAACUGAGUGCCCAAGCGAAAGCGAUAAGUAAUCCACCUGGGGAGUACGACCGCAAGGUUG
rnacentral:rRNA from 1 species